rnacentral:misc_RNA from 1 species
GAUGAAGAACGCAGUAAAAUGCGAUAAGUAAUGUGAAUUGCAGAAUUCAGUGAAUCAUCGAAUCUUUGAACGCACAUUGCGCCCGCCAGUAUUCUGGCGGGCAUGCCUGUUCGAGCGUCAUUUCAACCCUCAAGCACAGCUUGGUGUUGGGACUCGCGUUAAUUCGCGUUCCCCAAAUUGAUUGGCGGUCACGUCGAGCUUCCAUAGCGUAGUAGUAAAACCCUCGUUACUGGUAAUCGUCGCGGCCACGCCGUUAAACCCCAACUUCUGAAUGUUGACCACGGAUCAGGUAGGAAUACCCGCUGAACUUAAGCAUAUCAAUAAGCGGAGGA